CAUCCCUCGGGCGGCGGCGGCGGCGGCGGCUGCGAGGCGCAGGAGGAGCGUGUGCGGCGGGCCCGGCGGCGGGUAGAGAGGCGAGAGGGCUGCAGGAGACCGAGGGGGAGCCGGGCCGGUGGGGCCGCCGCCGCCGCCAUGCAGGAAAUAAUCGCCAGCGUGGACCACAUCAAGUUUGACUUGGAGAUCGCAGUGGAGCAGCAGCUCGGGGCGCAGCCGCUGCCCUUCCCCGGCAUGGACAAGUCGGGUGCUGCUGUCUGUGAAUUCUUUUUGAAAGCUGCCUGCGGCAAAGGGGGUAUGUGUCCGUUUCGCCACAUCAGUGGUGAGAAGACAGUUGUGUGCAAACACUGGCUGCGUGGCCUAUGCAAGAAAGGGGACCAGUGCGAGUUCCUGCAUGAGUAUGACAUGACCAAGAUGCCCGAGUGCUACUUCUACUCCAAGUUCGCUCUUAGACAUGAAGAGCCAAUCAGAGUGGAACUUCCUGGUCUCCAUGGGUGCUUUUCUGUCCAGCCCCACUGCACAGGAAGCUGGGGCUCAGAGACACUCUUCCCUGGCUCUCAGGGCUCAUCAGGAGAGUGCAGCAACAAGGAGUGUCCCUUCCUGCACAUCGACCCCGAGUCCAAGAUCAAGGACUGCCCUUGGUAUGACCGCGGCUUCUGCAAGCACGGUCCCCUCUGCAGGCACCGGCACACACGGAGAGUCAUCUGUGUGAAUUACCUCGUGGGAUUCUGCCCAGAGGGGCCCUCAUGUAAAUUCAUGCAGCUGCUGGUGACCAGCCCUCGAUUUGAACUGCCCAUGGGAACCACCGAGCAGCCCCCACUGCCGCAGCAGACCCAGCCUCCGGCAAAGGUACCGUGCCUGGCCCUCCUCGGUAGGAAGGAAGUGCCUUUUCUCCAGCGAGAACCUCAGUGUCCCCCGGGGGUGCAGUCUGCUUUAGACCCCACUGCAGAACUUGGGAGAGAAGGGGCGUCUCCCAAGUUCCCGCAGAAAAGUCAGGGGCAGAGCCAUGUGUAUCUCCCUCGAGAGAUGCAGGGCCUCUCACCCUGGAACCUCAGCAAGGCCAAGCGCAGCAGCAAAGUUGAGGCGCCAUGCAACCAGCCACCCAUUGUGAGAUGGGGCUGCCUGGCACAGCAGCGUCUGCCCCAGGAGCCGGCCUGGGCACCAUGUCUGCGCCCGGGGAGCUGGCAUGGAGCCGGCCUGGGCAAUGUGUCUGCUGCUUUUGCUCCUGGGCCAGACCCUUCGUUUUGCAGAUAGGGGAACUGAGACUUCCAGAGCGGGGGAACUUGCCUGAGGCAAUGCCACUGGGCAGGAGCAGGUGUGGCAGCAGAACUGACCACUCUGGCCAGCACCGCCCCUGCUCCUGUGGAGUGGAGGCUGGGAGGAGGGGUGAGAACAGGCCCAGCUGGCUCCAGUUUUCUAGAUAAGGGGCCCCGCAGCCAAGCAGCUGGUCCGACCCCUCCAGCCCAAGGAGGGAGGGAAAUGCCAUAGACACAUGCCAUCUGCAGCAGCCCCUCAACGCCAAGGGCACCCUGAGUUUGGAUAUGGGAGUCGGGGGUUGAGCCAAGAGGAAGGGCUGGCAUCAAGGCAGGGCGGGCAUCAGGCAGGGUUCCCAACAGGCCCACCAAGCCCACCCACCUGAGCCCAAAGCCUCACCUCCUACCCUGCUGGGCUCUGGACUGGCUGCCAAAGCCCCACCAGCCCCGCUAAGUGCUAGAGGCUGAACAGCCAGGAGAGGAUGCAGUGGAUACAGCUGCGUGGAGGCCAGUCCUAUUGAACUCUUGAUGGGGAAAGCGGGGAAUUCCAGGUGUAGGUGCAGCCGUGCCAACCUGGGGGUUUUCUAGCUCGGGUUCUGCACUUAUGGGCCAGAGCCAGGAGCCCACGGGUCGGGAGGAGGCCCUGCUGUGGAAUCCCUACCCCAGGAGCCCUGGCCCUCCUCCUGGCGGGGCUCCCUAGAGGAGGGUCCUCUCAGCCCGAGAACGCAGCUCAGUGUGUCAGGCUCCAACUGUUUUUCUGUGACUUGCUCGCCGUGUAGGCUGCUAAACAUCUGGCUGAACCAAGCGUUCAUCCUGACCUGAAGCCAGAACCUCAGAAACCAAAGUAAGGCCUGAACAUGCCCUCGCCCCACUGCCCCAGAGACCUCCUCUUGUCUCCUUGAUGUUUUGUUUUCUAUUUUAUUUUUCGUUUUUGUGUGUCUGCAUGGUGUUUUUCGGGCAGUGGCUUCUGCCAUCAUCACCAGAUGUUUCUCUGUUGCCCGCUGUCCUGAGCUGGGCCGUCGUGGAAGCCCUUCUUCCUGCCGUUUGCGGGACGAGUCCCGCCCUCUUUUUUCCUGUCCCCAUCGGUAGUCUGCGUGCACGUGUUUUCCACAGUAAAACCGUGUUGUGUAACUCUUUCCAGCAAAGUAACAAUCCGCCAUUACAAAGGUCGUCCUCCUUGAUCCAGUUAACGAGUCAGAACUCUUCUCCCAAUCAGCAGAGAACCCCACAGGUCAUCGGGGUCAUGCAGAGUCAAAACAGCAGCGCGGGCAACCGGGGACCCCGGCCACUGGAGCAGGUCACCUGUUACAAGUGUGGCGAGAAAGGACACUACGCCAACAGAUGCACCAAAGGGCACUUGGCCUUUCUCAGUGGACAGUGACAGCAGCUGGAGCCAGCUCCGAGCAGCCCGGGGGCCCCGCUGUUGGGAGUGUGCAUUUAACUAUUUCAUGCGCUUAUUGGCGCGACUGUGGCUUGAGCUGGCCCGCAGGCAUGUGGGUUUCAUCGUUCUGAGGGGCCACGCCUGUUAGUUUUCUAUUAUUCUGCCGUA